rnacentral:lncRNA from 10 species
GGCUCACAUUAUAGAUUUUCAUCCACCCCCGUCCCACCUGAUUAGCAAGGAGGCUUCAUUACAUCCAUUCUGCAAGGGAAAAGCUUGAAGCUCUGAGUCCAGGGCCCUCACCCAGGACAUCUUGGUGCUUGGGCCAAGAUCUGAACCAGGUCUGCCCAAGAACACAGCCUGAGUUCUUGACCAAUAUCGCCUCCCUCCUUGCAAAAGGUGUUCUUUCCAGCCACCUCCUCCCUCAAGCAUGGCGGUCCUGAAGUGCCCAUACUCAAGUUGGCUUUGAUUUUGGGGAUAUUCGCCAGUGCUCCAGACUGCAGAGUUGUCACUACCCAGGGGAGACCAGCCUGAUGCCUCCUGACGUCCCAGGAGGUGGCACCGUCUCUGACCUUAUGCUCAGGAAGUUCUCCUAACCCGCUCUGGGUACCUCCAGAGCUGUGUCAGAGCCAGUCGGGAUCAGGUAGAAUGUGGCUUGCCCAGGGAGGCUGACCAUGCUGGGGACAAGUGGGGCCUGGACUGGCUGCAUGGGCUUCUGCUCUCGACACAUCCCAAACCAGCUCUGUGGCCGCGGGCCGAGCCCUGUGUUCAAUGGAGACAGGAAUCUCUGCCUGGUCCCAUCCUGGGCUGUACUGUGGGAACGUGGGAAGUGCCCAAAAAACCGGAGCGCCACUUGAGAUGUGCUUGCUGGGGAGGAUGGUGGUUCUGGGCCCAGACAGAGCCUCUCAGCAGGGCCGGUCGGGGCAUCAGUGUUUCUCGUUCCUCUCUGGGGCCUCCUCUGACCUCCUCCCCUGAAUGCUCCAUUGCCUUUGCAUUGCCAUGACUCCCUUGAACUCAACUCUUGACUUGGGGGUGUGAAGUCAGUGUUUCCUGAAGCCGGCUCCCCACCAACCUGCUAAAAUGGUGCAGCUAGACUUCCCCAGAGGCAAAAUCCUUAGGAUUCAGAGUCGUUUUUAAAUGUAUUACUUUACUUUCUCAAUUUUUGUGUAAAAAGGUAUUGAUUUUGUGAUCAAAAAUAGAAAGGGUAGGGCCAGGUGUGGUGGCUCAUGCCUGUAAUCCCAGCACUUUGGGAGGCCGAGGUGGGUGGAUCACCUGAGGUCAGGAGUUUGAGACCAGCCUUGCCAACAUGGUGAAACUGUGUCCCUAAUAAAAAUACAAAAAUUAGCUGG